rnacentral:rRNA from 1 species
AUACGGAGGAUCCGAGCGUUAUCCGGAUUUAUUGGGUUUAAAGGGUGCGCAGGCGGCCAUUUAAGUCAGCGGUUAAAUCGUGGGGCUCAACCCCAUUCUGCCGUUGAUACUGGGUGGCUUGAUUGCGGUCGAGGUUGGCGGAAUUCGUUGUGUAGCGGUGAAAUGCUUAGAUAUCAUGAAGAACUCCGAUUGCGAAGGCAGUCCGCUGGGGCACGUCUGACGCUGAUGCUCGAAGGUGCGGGAAUCAAACAGGAUUAGAUACCCUGGUAGUCCGCACGGUAAACGAUGAUUACCCGCUGUCGGCGGUAGACAGUCGGCGGCCAAGCGAAAGCGAUAAGUAAUCCACCUGGGGAGUACGCCGGCAACGGUGAAACUCAAAUGAAUUGACGGGG